rnacentral:rRNA from 1 species
UUUGUCCUACGGGACGCAGCAGUGGGGAAUAUUGCACAAUGGGGGAAACCCUGAUGCAGCGACGCCGCGUGGGUGACGAAGUAUUUCGGUAUGUAAAGCUCUAUCAGCAGGGAAGAAAAUGACGGUACCUGAGUAAGAAGCCCCGGCUAACUACGUGCCAGCAGCCGCGGUAAUACGUAGGGGGCAAGCGUUAUCCGGAUUUACUGGGUGUAAAGGGAGCGUAGACGGCAGUGCAAGUCUGGAGUGAAAGGCGGGGGCUCAACCCCCGGACUGCUCUGGAAACUGUACGGCUGGAGUGCAGGAGG